rnacentral:rRNA from 1 species
AUUGAACGCUGGCGGCAGGCCUAACACAUGCAAGUCGAACGAGUGGCGGACGGGUGAGUAAUGUCUGGGAAACUGCCUGAUGGAGGGGGAUAACUACUGGAAACGGUAGCUAAUACCGCAUACCAUCAGAUGUGCCCAGAUGGGAUAAGCUUGGUGGUGGGGUAACGGCUCACCAAGGCGAAGAUCCCUAGCUGGUCUGAGAGGAUGACCAGCCACGCUGGUACUGAGACACGGUCCAGACUCCUACGGGAUGCAGCAGUGGGGAAUAUUGCACAAUGGGCGCAAGCCUGAUGCAGCGAUGCCGCGUGUGUGAAGAAGGCCUGCGGGUUGUAAAGUCCUUUCUGCUGGGAAGCGUUGCCCGCAGAAGAAGCACCGGCGAACUCCGUGCCAGCAGCCGCGGUAAUUC